ensembl:lncRNA
UAUCUGAGGAAAGAAAGAGCCGAUCAUCUUGUAGGUUUGUUUAAAGCCAUGAAUUUGCAGGUCCCAGAAGCUUCGCGAAUGAAAACCAGCACAGGCUUUAUGAAGUCUGCUCAUCCAUCACAGUCGUAAUGAAACCUGUGGAAACGAUGAGAAGCGUCCAGAGACGAUGUCGUGUUCCAUCCGGAGGAGAAGCGGUUCGGACGAGUCGAGCUUCCACCUCCGAAACCAGUGCUGUCAGCAGAGGGGGAGUUCUGGAGAGAUGGGACUGGCCGGCCUGGGAGUCUUCCGGCGACAUUCUUGGGGCAUGAAGGCGAAACGGGCAUUGUUAGAGGGAGGAGUGUGGAGAGACUUGCUGCCCGUGGACCUGCUCUAAGGGAAAUGGUGAGGGCGAGUCUUCAGGUGGAAAGGCAGCCAUUCUUGGGGGCACUUGCAGGGUCCCCAGUGAAGUGAGACCCCCAGGUGGGCAGUAGCAGGUAAAGGCAGCGGGUGUGUUCUCCCCUCAGCUCUUUGAAACACGUGGGGCUUUUGAAAGCAAACAUCACGUGUGGUGGGGAGUUUGGUGCAUGCAGACGAAGACGCAGAGCAGCUGCAGCGAGAGGGCGGGGGGUGCAGGGGUCUUAGGAUGGUGCGGGUUCUGUGUUUCUCUGAGGCGCUGACAACAUUCGGUCUGACGUUGGGCGCGUGUAUUAUACCGCCUGGUGCAGCCACUUGCACAGCCCAGCAAGAGUCACAGUUGGAACACCAGUGGAUACAGUGGAUACUAAGAAAUACUCCCAAAGCCAGAAGGAGGCAGGAGGGGGACACUCGAAGAGCAAACGAGCGGGAACAUGGAGCGGACCGAAGGGCGAGCUUAGAAACAGCCUCGUUGGUCAUUCCAUGACCUGUAAGCGGUGACAGCACCACUAACUGGUGGACAUCGUCAGACUGGACCAAGAAUUAAGGGGCCCCAUUUGGGAAUUUGGAAAUUAAAGGGCACCCUUCUGCCUAAUGCACAAGGCAAAGAAGACCUCAGGGAAAACUGGAAACUAUUUUGAACUGGAUGGAAAUGAAAGUACAGCCCCCUCGUCUUUGGGGGAUGCAGCCAAAGCCAUGUUUAGGGGGAACGGAGACCAGCACGUGUUGGUGGAAGUCCCGGUGUCCACACGGGGGGCAGAGGCUGGAGAGCAGCCCCUGAACCAGCGGCCUCAUCCCCGGGUUACCAAGGGCCCUGUGUGUGGUGGGGCUCAGGGGAUGGUGACACCGCAGUCAAAGCCCCAAGGGCUGAAGUUCCCACUGUGGCUCAGUGGUUAACGAAUUCAACGAGGAACCAUGAGGUUGCGGGCUCGAUCCCUGGCCUUGCUCACUGGGUUAAGGAUCCAGCAUUGCCACGAGCUGUGCUGUAGGAUGCAGUCGCAGCUCGGAUCCUGCGUUGCAGUGGCUCUGGUGUAGGCCGAGCUGUAGCCACCGGCCUACACCAGAGCCACAGCAACGCAGGAUCCGAGGCACAUCUGCAACCUACACCACCGCUCAAGGCAAUGCCAGAUCCUUAAUCCACUGAGCAAGGGCAGGGAUUGAAUCCACAACCUCAUGGUUCCUAGUCGGAUUCGUUAACCACUGCGCCACGGCGGGAACUCCUUUUAAAAUGUUUUACUAUAGGUGACUUAACCGUGUUCUGUGGCACAGCACAGCGACCCGUUCAUAUGCAUUGGUUCUUUCCUUCACACCCUCCGCCAGCAUAUUCCGUCACAAGUGCUCAGAUUCCGUUCCCCGGGCGAUCCAGCAGGAUCCCACUGCUUACCCACCCGCAUGCAGCAGCUGGCAUCCAGCAAGGGUUGAAUGCCUCUGGUCUCCUUAGCAUCUUGCUGAGCCCCCGAGUGGGGCUGUAGAGCACCGCUCCCCCCAAACCUGAAGCUGCCCAGCGCUGACCCAGGCCGUGACGCUCUAGACGACAGCUGAGGGUGUCACUUUGUUGGGGGGGGGGGGGGAAUCGUGGGCCUCCUAGCCCUGUCUUUGGGGAGCUCAUCUUGACCUCCGGACCUGUUCCUGGCCCAGGUUUACCCAUCCCCCAACAGUGGGUUGCAGCCUUGUGACUUGGUGGGGAUGGCAGUGCCCAGGUCGUCACAGGAAGUUCCAUCCGCACAGACGCCCGAUGUCUCUUUCCUUCAGUGUCUGUCGGGCACCGGAGGCCUGUCAGGAGCCAUGUUGCGAUGGCCCCUGGCUUUCCGCUGCAGGUGAUGGAUGAGAUGACCUGAACCUGCAGGGACCGAACCUCCCCUCAGCCCCUGGGCUCCGCGAGAAUCGCCAGGCCUCCCAGUGCCCACGGGUUCGUCGGGUCCUGGACGGUAGCCCGAGGCUCCGGCAGAGCCCCGAUUCUAAAACCGUGGGCUCCCCUCAGACCCGCACCGGUCUCAGUCCCUUGAGAAGUCCCUUGUCCUCUCAGGUAUGACACCUGCUGCUUCCACAGUCCAAGGAUGCGGACCCAGAGCUGUGCCGCUCUCUGUGCUGGGUGUUGCCAGGUGCAGUGGCGUGUGCCUUGCUGGAGGGGCUGUGUCUUGGCGGGUCUCAGAGAACAGGUCCUCUGCCAGGAUCUCUGCUUUGGCAGGCUCUGAAUCCUUGAAUUUCUUUUUUUCUUAAAAAAAAAAAAUUCUUCGAGUUCCUGUCGUGGGUCAUCGGGUUAAGAACCCGACCAGUAUCCAUGAGGACGUGGGUUCCACCCCUGGUCUCGCUCAGUGAGCUAAGGAUGUGGUGUUGCUGUGAGCUGCGGUGUAGGUCCCAGACGUGGCUCGGAUCUGGCGAUGCUGUGGCUGUGGUGUACGCCGGCAGCUGUAGCUCUGAUUGGACCCCUGGCCUGGGAACCUCCAUAUGCUGCAUGUGUGGCCCUAAAAAAAAGAUCUCCCAGCACUCCCAGCACAUGGAGCCUAUCCCAGAGCAACGCGAACACCCCCACCCUCUCCUGCUCAGGCCCCAUUAACAAGACGUCAUCAGCCUGGUGGACCAGUGCCAAGGGUCCUUG